GGACCCGCACAAGCGGUGGAGCAUGUGGUUUAAUUCGAAGCAACGCGAAGAACCUUACCAAGUCUUGACAUCCCUCUGACUGAAUCGUAAUGGAUUCGUUCCUUCGGGACAGAGGAGACAGGUGGUGCAUGGUUGUCGUCAGCUCGUGUCGUGAGAUGUUGGGUUAAGUCCCGCAACGAGCGCAACCCUUAUCUUUAGUAGCCAGCAGGUGAAGCUGGGCACUCUGGAGAGACUGCCGGGGAGAACCCGGAGGAAGGCGGGGAUGACGUCAAAUCAUCAUGCCCCUUAUGACUUGGGCUACACACGUGCUACAAUGGCGUAAACAAAGGGAAGCGAAGCUGUGAAGUGGAGCAAAGCCCAGAAAUAACGUCUCAGUUCGGAUUGUAGUCUGCAACUCGACUACAUGAAGCUGGAAUCGCUAGUAAUCGCGAAUCAGAAUGUCG
rnacentral:rRNA from 1 species